GGGGUGGUUACAUUGUCUAUUGUAUCCCUUAGCUGGUGUUUUUGUACACUUCUCGGGAAGUGAAAUUGGGAGUGAAAAGCAUGGCUGAUGAGCAAGAAAUCAUGUGCAAACUGGAAAGCAUUAAAGAAAUCAGGAACAAGACCCUGCAGAUGGAAAAGAUCAAGUCCCGUUUGAAGGCUGAAUUUGAGGCCCUUGAGUCAGAAGAGAGACACCUGAAAGAAUACAAGCAGGAGAUGGACCUCCUGCUACAGGAGAAGAUGGCCCAUGUGGAGGAACUUCGACUGAUCCAUGCUGACAUCAAUGUGAUGGAAAACACCAUCAAACAGUCUGAGAACGACCUGAACAAGCUGCUAGAAUCUACUCGGCGGCUUCAUGAUGAGUAUAAGCCACUGAAGGAACAUGUGGAUGCCCUGCGCAUGACCCUGGGCCUGCAGAGGCUCCCUGAUCUGUGUGAUGAGGAAGAGAAACUCUCCUUGGAUUACUUUGAGAAGCAGAAAGCAGAGUGGCAGACAGAGCCUCAGGAACCCCCGAUCCCUGAGUCCUUGGCCGCUGCAGCAGCUGCAGCCCAACAACUUCAAGUGGCUAGAAAGCAGGACACAAGGCAGACAGCCACCUUCAGACAACAGCCACCACCUAUGAAGGCGUGCUUGUCAUGUCACCAGCAAAUUCACCGAAAUGCACCCAUAUGCCCUCUGUGCAAAGCCAAGAGCCGGUCCCGGAACCCCAAAAAGCCAAAACAUGAGAAAACUGAGGCUCAAAGAGGGUAAAGUAAUUGCCAACAAAUAACUAGGAAGGGGCAAAGCCAUGAGUCAAACCCAGAUCUGUCUGCCUUUUAACCCUGUGUUUUUUCUACCCAAGUACAGUGCUUCAGGUAAGCCUGAGACAUGGUUAAGGGAGAAUAAAGAAGGGAAGGGAAAUAACAAAAAUAGAGUGAAAGAAGGAGGUAAGAGGUUGGGGGAGAUAGAGAAGAAGGAGGAGAGUAAGAAGAGUUAUUCUUUAUAUUGGCGAAAUGCUUUACACUUAAAGCACCUUCUUCAACAUUAAUUUGAUGCUCACAAUAACCUCCACUGUUGAUAGAGCAUGCUUUAUUACCCCCAUUUUACAAAUGAGGCCCAAACAGGGGAACUGACUUGUCCAAGGUCACAUAGGAAGUCAAGAGCAAAGCCAUGACUAGAACUUAGGCCUUCCAGUCUGGGGAUCACCAAUCUGGGGCUCUCUUUAAAUGCUUGACACAAUGGGGUUGAGUAGUAUACCUCCUUUUUGCCAGUGGUUUCUGAUGCUUACACUGAGGGUGGGAUCUCACUCCAAAAGGGAAGGGCAGGUGAUUUUAGUAGUUCUGAUCUUGAAGUCCAGUUCUCUGUUACUGUUAUGCCCUCAGCUUUCCCAUAGCAACUGUCAGCAUCUUUGCAAUGAUCAACAUCUCCCAAAGUGAAGUCUAGGAAGCCUGCUAACUCAGGGACCUAUGCCCUGGGGUUAGUUACUUAACCUCUCUAGGCUUCCCUUUUCUCACUUGUGAGGCAGGAAUAAUAAUUGUCCUUUCCUCAUAGCAUUGUUAGAAGGGUUAAAUGAGCUAAUACAUGUAAAGUGCCUAUAACAACACCUGACAAGCAUUCAAUAAAUGGUUGCUUCGAGGAAGAAGAUGAUGAUGAUGACUGGCUUCCUGAGAAGCCAAAAAUGAUGAUGAUGAUGAUGAUGAUGAUGAUGAUGAUGAUGAUGAUGAUGAUGAUGAAGGCUUACUGAGCAUUUGAAGCCUGCAAAAGGUCCAGAGGGUACAUCAGUCACAUGUUUUGGUGAUUUCUCUGCUUCUCUGCCUUCACUUCCACACUGAGAACUGAGCUACCAGAGAAUACAGCCUGCAUCUCCAACUACCUAGAUAGUCCUCCACCAGGAGGUGCUGGACUGCUGAGACUGAGAACAGCCUUUCAGAAGCUUUCCCAAACAAUCUCCCUUGCUCCAAUAGUUUCUCAUCUGGCUGGCAGUCUGAGGAAUUAAUUGGGGCUGGAUAUAGGCAAGUGAGAACCAGUAAAUGUCAUUUUACCCCUCCCCCUUACUCUAAGCAGAUUUCACUUAAACUAGGCUGUAAGUGGGGAGAAGGAUGGGCAGCAGAUGGGAGGGGGCACCCUUAAUUGCCCAGCCCUGCAGGCUUGCUUCCUUCAAUCUGUCUCGGUGCUAGUUAAUGAUUAGAAAGAGAUGCCUUUUCAGGAGAGGCAGAAUUAGCCUUAAUUCAAUUUAAUUACAGGUUGCCAGCUUGUAGUGAAAGUUAUUCCAUUGCAUUGCUAAGUUUGCCAUGUGUGUACACACAUACACACAUACCUGUCUACUCUCUGGCUUGUUAUCCCCUUAACUCCCUCUUUCUGCAGCCCCAAUUUCAGACUUUAUCCUUUUUGCAUUAGGGAAUUCACUUUAAAAAAAAUUUCCCUUCCCCUGUAGCUAGUAUUCCCUAAACUCUCCUUAGUCUUCUUCACUCUGACAUUUCCUAGAGGCCUGCUACAUGCCAAGGGACCCCCACCCCACCCCUGCUGAACUCUGGAGAUUCAAAGAUGAAUGAGACAUACU